AUGACAUGUUGACUUUGUAAUAUAUUGUAUUAUGUUUAUAUAUAUAACGCCUUAAGUUUUAAGAACUUAUUUAGGCAAAAAACGUAUUUUAUCCUAUAGUCUUUUACGUCCGUUAACGACGAGAUGUUUAUUUAUCUACAUAAGCAUUACCUGAAAACAGGGGAAAUCAUGACAGCUUUUGAACAUCUUUACUAUGACAUCGAAGAACUUCAAACCGCACAUGCGCUACAUCAAUCUACGAUUCGGCAGCAGGUUAAGGUUUCCCCGGAUGAACAGCAUAACCCAAAUCAUUUAACGCCACGGGGCUUGUCAGACCGAGUUAAUGGAAACUCAGCGUUUAAACAACCGGGACAAAGCACAUCCACGUGCCAUUCUACUGCCUUGCCGUAUGAGUAUCUGAAGAGAUCUAGUAGUGAUCCUGAACAAAAAUACACCGCUUUAAGAUAAUUCUAAC